GUCGAGCGGACCGACUGGAGCUUGCUCCCUUAGGUCAUCGGCGGACGGGUGAGUAACACGUGGGUAACCUGCCUGUAAGACUGGGAUAACUCCGGGAAACCGGGGCUAAUACCGGAAGCCUGAUUGAACCGCAUGGUUUCAAUCAUAAAAGGCGGCUUACUGCUGCCGUUUACAGAUGGACCCGCGGCGCAUCAGCUAGUUGGUAGAGGUAACGGCUCACCAAGGCGACGAUGCGUAGCCGACCUGAGAGGGUGAUCGGCCACACUGGGACUGAGACACGGCCCAGACUCCUACGGGAGGCAGCAGUAGGGAAUCUUCCGCAAUGGACGAAAGUCUGACGGAGCAACGCCGCGUGAGUGAUGAAGGUUUUCGGAUCGUANAGCUCUGUUGUUAGGGAAGAACAAGUACCGUUCGAAUAGGGCGGUACCUUGACGGUACCUAACCAGAAAGCCACGGCUAACUACGUGCCAGCAGCCGCGGUAAUACGUACGUGGCAAGCGUUGUCCGGAAUUA
rnacentral:rRNA from 1 species